UUUCUUUUUCCUUCAUUUGUGUUCAUGAUUUUUUUUAGGAGACGAAACGAGAGAAAAGUCACACCGCCACGGACCAGGGUGGCAACGAAAAGAAAGAAGGAAACGAAUCCAGAGGUCAUUACACUACGAUCCCUUUGAUGGAGGAGAGGCCGAGUUCAUUGGAUUCCGGGGUAA